UGCUCUCUCGGCUGCCUCACUUUGAGGGAAGCCUGCUGCCCUGGCAGGAAGGAAGCCCCUGCGGCCCUGGGGAGGGCAUCAUGCGGUGGUGAGCUGAGGCCUUUCGUUGACAGCCAGCACCAGCUUGCCUGCCACGGGAGCGAGCAACCUCGGAGGGGACCUUCUCGCCCCAGUGGAGCCUUCCAGAGACGGCAGCUGACAUCUUCCAGAGACGGCAGCUGACAUCUUGAGCACGGCCUCACCAGAGACCUCGGAGCCACCAAGCUCAGCGGCUCCCACGCGCUGGCAGAAACGAUGGGAAAGGGGCAAUUGUCAGAGUCAAUGAAGCAGGAUGUCUGUGCGCUCACCCCUCACACAGCACUUUGCGGGGAGACAACUCUCCACGGGUCUCCUGCCCUGCUGUGCCUUGUGCCCACAGAAGAGCCCGCGGCUUUUGUUCCUGACGUUGCUCGGGACCAGCCUCCCGAGGGUGUGUGCAGAGUGAACAGCCUGGGGAGACAGAGGCCACGCUGUCUCCGCAUAAGGCAGGUCUGUUCACUGGGCAGGAGAACGAGGAGAAUGCAUCCCUCUGGGGCAGGGCCCGGCUGGGUCCUGUCCCGAGCCCUGCACACCGGGCUUCGGGGUUGGGCGUAAGAGACGCUGCUGCCCUGCCCUGCGAGAGCCAAGAGCAGCACGGGCCUGCAUCUCCGACCCGAGAGUCCUGUGUCCUCCACCACCACCCGCGGAACCCGCAGGCUCACGGGCCGCUUCCAAGGAAGGCAGCCGUCCCAGCCCCUCCCUGCUCCGAACCAGGGUGAGCCAGAGUGUCCUUUCCAGCCUCCUCGAUGCCCUGAGGGCCAGCACGGCAGUGUUUUCAGUCCCAUCCUGCAGGCAUGAGUGAUAGUGAUUUUUUCAUCGCUCCCCAGCUGAUUCUAACACCCUGCAAGGCCUCAGGCCACCCUGUCCAGCGUGCUGACCACAGGCCAGUGUCCAUGGAGCCCCUAUGAUGUGGCCUGUCUCAAGAUGUGCUGUAAGUGGACACUACACCCUGAUUUGAAGGCUUUAUGAAAAACACAAAUGUAAAAUAGCUCAGCAUUUUUGUAUUACACAUUGAAAUAUUAUUUUCAUAUACUGGG